rnacentral:rRNA from 1 species
ACUACGGGUGGCAGCAGUGGGGAAUAUUGCACAAUGGGGGAAACCCUGAUGCAGCGACGCCGCGUGAAGGAAGAAGUAUUUCGGUAUGUAAACUUCUAUCAGCAGGGACGAAAAUGACGGUACCUGUCUAAGAAGCCCCGGCUAACUACGUGCCAGCAGCCGCGGUAUUACGUAGGGGGCAAGCGUUAUCCGGAUUUACUGGGUGUAAAGGGAGAGUAGGCGGUGGUGCAAGUCAGAAGUGAAAGCCCGGGGCUCAACUGCGGGACUGCUUUUGAAACUGUAAGACUAGAGUGCAGGAGAGGUAAGUGGAAUUCCUAGUGUAGCAGUGAAAUGCGUAGAUAUUAGGAGGAACACCAGUGGCGAAGGCGGCUUACUGGACUGUAAAUGACGCUGAGGCUCGAAAGCGUGGGGAGCAAACAGGAUUAGAUACCCCUGUAGUC